rnacentral:rRNA from 1 species
UACGUAGGGGGCAAGCGUUGUCCGGAUUUACUGGGCGUAAAGAGCGCGCAGGCGGUCGGAUAAGUCGAAUGUGAAAGCCCCCGGCUCAACUGGGGAGGGUCAUUCGAUACUGUUCGACUCGAAGGCAGGAGAGGGAAGUGGAAUUCCCGGUGUAGUGGUGAAAUGCGUAGAUAUCGGGAGGAACACCAGUGGCGAAGGCGACUUCCUGGCCUGUUCUUGACGCUGAGGCGCGAAAGCUAGGGGAGCAAACGGG